rnacentral:misc_RNA from 1 species
AUUUCGCGUUAGGGAUUGAAGUGAAAAGCCCACAGCGAGGCACGAGCGAGGACUUGCAACGGAAAGCCCGCUUGAGC